GGAAAAAGCAGGGGAUCGAAAGACCUUGCGCUUUGGGAGCGGCCGAUGUCUGAUUAGCUAGUUGGUGGGGUAAAGGCCUACCAAGGCGACGUCAGUAGUUGGUCUGAGAGGACGACCAGCCACACUGGGACUGAGACACGGCCCAGACCUCUACGGGAGGCAGCAGUGGGGAAUUUUGGACAAUGGGCGCAAGCCUGAUCCAGCAAUGCCGCGUGAGUGAAGAAGGCUUCGGGUUGUAAAGCCUUUCAGUCGAGAAGAAAAAGCUGCAGUGAAUAACUGUAGUUCAUGACGGUAUCGACAGAAGAAGCACCAGCUAACUACGUGCCAGCAGCCGCGGUAAUACGUAGGGUGCGAGCGUUAAUCGGAAUUACUGGGCGUAAAGGGUGCGCAGGCGGCUUUGUAAGUCAGAUGUGAAAUCCCCGGGCUUAACCUGGGAAUUGCGUUUGAAACUACAAAGCUAG
rnacentral:rRNA from 1 species